AGUGAACGCUGGCGGUAGGCCUGACACAUGCAAGUCGAACGGCAGCACAGGAGAGCUUGCUCUCUGGGUGGCGAGUGGCGGACGGGUGAGGAAUACAUCGGAAUCUACUCUGUCGUGGGGGAUAACGUAGGGAAACUUACGCUAAUACCGCAUACGACCUACGGGUGAAAGCAGGGGACCUUCGGGCCUUGCGCGAUUGAAUGAGCCGAUGUCGGAUUAGCUAGUUGGCGGGGUAAAGGCCCACCACGGCGACGAUCCGUAGCUGGUCUGAGAGGAUGAUCAGCCACACUGGAACUGAGACACGGUCCAGACUCCUACGGGAGGCAGCAGGGGGGAAUAUUGGACAAUGGGCGCAAGCCUGAUCCAGCCAUACCGCGUGGGUGAAGAAGGCCUUCGGGUUGUAAAGCCCUUUUGUUGGGAAAGAAAUCCAGCUGGCUAAUACCCGGUUGGGAUGACGGUACCCAAAGAAUAAGCACCGGCUAACUUCGUGCCAGCCGCCGCUGUAA
rnacentral:rRNA from 1 species